CCUACGGGGGGCAGCAGUGGGGAAUAUUGCACAAUGGGGGAAACCCUGAUGCAGCGACGCCGCGUGAGUGAAGAAGUAUCUCGGUAUGUAAAGCUCUAUCAGCAGGGAAGAAAAUGACGGUACCUGACUAAGAAGCCCCGGCUAACUACGUGCCAGCAGCCGCGGUAAUACGUAGGGGGCAAGCGUUAUCCGGAUUUACUGGGUGUAAAGGGAGCGUAGACGGCGCUGCAAGUCCGGAGGGAAAGCACAUGGCUUAACCAUGGUACUGCUCUGGAAACGGUGGAGCUUGAGUGCGGGAGGGGCAGGAGGAAGUCGUAGGGUAGCGGUGAAAUGAGGAGAGAUUAGGAGGAAAAGCGGCGGUGAAGGCGGACUGCUGGACAGUAACGGACGUUGAGGCUCGAAAGCGUGGGGAGCAAACAGGAUGAGAGACCCGGGUAGGC
rnacentral:rRNA from 1 species